AAUAAGUGCAGCCAUAGAUAUCCGUGUUCAACGUUUGACCGUCCGUCUUAUUUGAAAAAUUUGUGAAAAAUUUAAAAAUAUUUAGUCACACAUAAAGUAUUAUUCAUGUUUUAUCAUCUAAUAGCAAUAAAAAUACUGAUCAUAAAAAAUUUUCAAAUAAAACGAACGGUCAAACGUUAAACGUAAAUAGUGCAAAACUGUAAUUACG
rnacentral:pre_miRNA from 1 species